rnacentral:rRNA from 1 species
GAUGAACGCUGGCGGCGUGCUUAACACAUGCAAGUCGAACGAAGCACUUAAGAUUGAUUCUUCGGAUGACGUCUUUUGUGACUUAGUGGCGGACGGGUGAGUAACGCGUGGGUAACCUGCCUCACACAGGGGGAUAACAGUUAGAAAUGACUGCUAAUACCGCAUAACCCGAUAGGAUCGCAUGAUCCAGACGGAAAAGAUUUAUCGGUGUGAGAUGGACCCGCGUCUGAUUAGCUAGUUGGUGAGGUAACGGCCCACCAAGGCGACGAUCAGUAGCCGGCCUGAGAGGGUGAACGGCCACAUUGGGACUGAGACACGGCCCAAACUCCUACGGGAGGCAGCAGUGGGGAAUAUUGCACAAUGGGGGAAACCCUGAUGCAGCGACGCCGCGUGAGUGAAGAAGUAGUUCGGUAUGUAAAGCUCUAUCAGCAGGGAAGAAAAUGACGGUACCUGACUAAGAAGCCCCGGCUAACUACGUG